rnacentral:misc_RNA from 1 species
AAAUGCGAUAAUUAAUGUGCAUUGCAGAAUUCAGUGAAUCAUCGAGUCUUUGAACGCACAUUGCGCCCCCUGGUAUUCCGGGGGGCAUGCCUGUCCGAGCGUCAUUGCUGCCCUCAAGCACGGCUUGUGUGUUGGGCUUCCGUCCCUGGCAACGGGGACGGGCCCAAAAGGCAGUGGCGGCACCAUGUCUGGUCCUCGAGCGUAUGGGGCUUUGUCUCCCGCUCCCGUAGGUCCAGCUGGCAGCUAGCCUCGCAACCAAUCUUUUUAACCAGGUUGACCUCGGAUCAGGUAGGGAUACCCGCUGAACUUAAGC